AGGGGUAUAGUAUAACGGCUAAUAUAAAGGUCUCCAAAACCUUAGAUCGUGGUUCGAUUCCACGUACCCCUGCCA
rnacentral:tRNA from 1 species